rnacentral:rRNA from 1 species
UACGUAAGGGGCAAGCGUUGUCCGGAAUCACUGGGCGUAAAGCGCACGUAGGCGGCUUGGCAAGUCAGGGGUGCAAGCUCUAGGCUUAACCUAGAAAUUGCCUCUGAAACUACCUCGCUUGAGGGUCUGAGGGGAAACUGGAAUUGCACGGUGUAGCGGUGAAAUGCGUAGAUAUCGUGGAGAACACCCGUGGCGAAGGCGGGUUUCUGGCAGACUUCUGACGGCUGAGGUGCGAAAGCUAGGGGAGCGAACGGGG